rnacentral:rRNA from 1 species
AGGGCGCACGGUGGAUGCCUUGGCAGAAUCAGGCGAUGAAGGACGUGGCAAGCUGCGAUAAGCUUCGGGGAGCCGCACACAGGCGUUGAUCCGGAGAUUUCCGAAUGGGGAAACCCACAUGAGUGAAAACUCAUGUAUGUCCAACUGAAUACAUAGGUUGGAACAGGCGAACGGGGGGAAGUGAACCAUCUCAGUACCCCCAGGAAGAGAAAGAAACCUCGAUUCCGAGAGUAGUGGCGAGCGAAAUCGGAUAAGCCCAAACCCGUUUUAUUUCGGUAACACGGGGGUUGUAGGGCCUGCAACAGUAGAGUUACCAAUCCAGUAGGUAGUCAAAGUCUCUGGGAAGAGACCCCAUAGAGCGUGACAGGCGCGUAGACAAAACUUAUCUGGACUCGAAGCAGGUACCUGAGUAAGGCGGGGCACGAGAAACCCUGCUUGAAUCCACGGGGACCAUCCCGUAAGGCUAAAUACUCGAUUCUGACCGAUAGUGAACCAGUACCGUGAGGGAAAGGCGAAAAGCACCCCAUUGAGGGGAGUGAAAAGUACCUGAAACCGUGUGCCUACAAGCAGUGGGAGGACUAUGCCCGUAAGGGAAUGUCUGACCGCGUGCCUAUUGCAUAAUGAGCCGGCUAGUUAUUCUUGUCAGCAAGGUUAAGCGUGAGCGAGCCGCAGCGAAAGCGAGUCUGAAUAGGGCGUUAAGUUGGCAGGAAUAGACGCGAAGCGGGAUGAUCUACCCUUGGCCAGGUUGAAGAUGGGGUAACACCCAUUGGAGGACCGAACCGGUGUUUGUUGAAAAAAGCUCGGAUGAGCUGAGGGUAGGGGUGAAAGGCUAAUCAAAUUCCGUGAUAGCUCGUUCUCUCCGAAAUAGCUUUAGGGCUAGCCUCGGGUGAUUUGGAUUGGUGGUAGAGACAUGAUUGGACUAGGGGGCUUUCCGGCUUACUGAAUCCAGCCAAACUUCGAAUGCCAAUCACAACCAGCCCGGGAGUCAGACUGUGGGGGCUAAGCUUCACAGUCGAGAGGAAAACAGUCCAGACCGCCUGCUAAGGUCCCCAAAUUACAGUUAAGUGGGAAAGGAAGUCGGAACGCUCAGACAGCCAGGAGGUUGGCUUAGAAGCAGCCAUCCUUUAAAGAAAGCGUAAUAGCUCACUGGUCAAGCGGUCCGGUGCCGACAAUACAACGGGGCUAAAACUGUAUACCGAAGCAGCGGAUGCACACAUAAGUGUGCGUGGUAGGAGAGCAUUCUCGCGGCAAUGAAGUCAGACUGAGAAGACUGAUGGAGUUUCGAGAAGAGACCCUGCCGGCAUAAGUAGCGAUAAUCAGUGUGAGAACCACUGACGCCGAAAGUCUAAGGUUUCCUGAGGAAGGUUAAUCCGCUCAGGGUUAGGCGGUCCCUAAGCUGAGGCCGAAAGGCGUAAGCGAUGGAUUUCCGGUUAAUAUUCCGGACCUCCCAAUAUCUCGUUAUUACGAUGGGGUGACACAGAAGGAUAAGCAGGCCCUCCUAUGGCUAUGAGGGUUGAUACACGUAAGCUGGUUUCGAUAGGCAAAUCCGUCGAGGCUUAACAGUGAGGUGUAAAACAGUAAGUCGUAUGACUGAAAGCUGCUGAGUUCACGCUGUCAAGAAAAACCUCUAAGGAGAGAGAUUGGGAACCGUACCCCAAACCGACACAGGUAGACGAGGAGAAUAUCCAAAGGCGCUCGAGUGAAGACUUGUUAAGGAACUCGGCAAAUUAGACCCGUAACUUCGGGAGAAGGGUCACCACAGUAGGGUUUAUAGCCCGAAGUGGUCGCAGUGAAACGCGUACGGCGACUGUUUAACAAAAACACAGGUCUCUGCAAAGUCUAAAACGACGUAUAGGGGCUGACUCCUGCCCGGUGCUGGAAGGUUAAAAGGAGGGGUUAGCGCAAGCGAAGCUCUGAAUUGAAGCCCCAGUGAACGGCGGCCGUAACUAUAACGGUCCUAAGGUAGCGAAAUUCCUUGUCGGGUAAGUUCCGACCUGCACGAAUGGAGUAACGAUCGUACGACUGUCUUAACGAGUUGCUCGGCGAACUUGUAGUACCGGUGAAGAUGCCGGUUACCCGCAGCUAGACGAAAAGACCCCGUGCACCUUUACUAUACUUUUACUGUGGGUUACGGCAAUUGCUGCGCAGGAUAGGUGGGAGGCUUUGAUCCCGGGCUUUCGGGUUCGGAGGAGCCAACGGUGAGAUACCACCCUGCGAUUGUUGUGACUCUAACCUCCUCCCCUGAUCGGGGAGAGGGACAUAG